rnacentral:rRNA from 1 species
UACGGAGGGUGCAAGCGUUAUCCGGAUUUACUGGGUUUAAAGGGUGCGUAGGUGGGUGAAUAAGUCAGCGGCGAAAUCUCCGGGCUUAACUCGGAAACUGCAUUCGAUACUGCCGUGCUUGAGGACUGGAGAGGAGACUGGAAUUUACGGUGUAGCGGUGAAAUGCGUAGAUAUCGUAAGGAAGACCAGUGGCGAAGGCGGGUCUCUGGACAGUUCCUGACGCUGAGGCACGAAGGUCAGGGGAGCAAACGGG